GUUCUUAACCUAACAGAAGUAACUCCCCAGUUCCCCCCUCAACUCCCCUGUUACCCUGUUUCUUCGAUGAUGAUUAUUAAAAUGAAAAAAAUAAUAAUCAAUACUUGGAAACUGCCUAUAAAGAGAAAACAAUCUUUCAAAUUUGGAAUAAGGAUAUGCAUCGAUUUGGCUCAAAUUAUAUCUUCCCAAGUUGGUUGUUGUCUUAAUCAUAAAAAAUUUAUGUAAGUGCUUCUGUCUGAUAUCUCUCUACAAAUGAAGAAAAAACCAUGGCUUUUUUUUAAGAGUCAUGGCCAAAUAUAUUCUUGUGUAUUAGUAUUCACUCUUCCUUUACUUCAUUUACGCAUCUUAUAAUCCCACGAAAAUAUCUUCUUUUUCUCACCAAAUUUAGAUCUAUAUAUGUUUCUACAAAGAGAUCUAAAAGAAACUGAUCUUGUAGUUCUUUUGUUCAAGAGUUUUUUCCCCUUAAUUAGUUGGUUUAAUCAUGAAAGGAAAGUGCACUAGUACUGUGUUGUACGUCUUGUUCAUUUCUCAUAAUUUUGUGUCCUCCUAAGAAGAUAGAAAGAUCAGCAGCACCGGACGUAUUUCUGUUUGGUUUUGAGUUUGGUUGGUAAUUAAUAUUACAAGUUCAGAUCUAAGGAAAUUUUGGUUUUUCUUGAACAUGUUUAGAGUUGAGGGAUCAGUUUUUUCAUUCGUAUACUAGAUUGCAGUUCCUGAAAUCAUAUUGAUAUUGUGUUAGUUUUAUUGUGGACUUCUGUGGUGAUUAGUGAAACAAGAUUAUCUGGUCAUUAGGAUUUAGGAUUUAUUUGCUUCUAGUUGAUUAAUUCUGUUGAAGUAAUACCGAUUCUCUGCUUUUCACCUGAUUUUGUGGAUGUGGAUUGAAGUAACUCCACUAUCCAAGACAUUUGGAAUGACUGCAAGUUACAACGUCUUGGUGGUUGAAAUAGUUGUUUUCUAGUGAUUGAGCUUGAUGAGUACUAUAAUUCCAUGUAUUAAGUCAGAUUGUUUAUGAAGACAAAAUGUACCUAUGCACUACUUUGAUCAAUAUUGUUUACUUCGUACACCAUUGUAUAUACACAACCCUAAUAAAUAUCAUUAAAUAAAGAAAACCACUUUUGCAUACUCUAGAAGAUAAGAUACAAGCUUAUGGGAAUGAUAGCCAGGCUAUGCGUAUCAAUUAUGUUCCGACGAUUGUGCAGGACCAUGAAUAUGAGUGAGUUGUUUCUAGUAGACAUGCUAGGCAUGACCUAAGCUUUAAAGUUGGAUUUAUUAUAUGGUUCUCAUUAUUUGUUGAAUAUCUAAUUGCUCCCAUUUGGAAUGUGUACAUGUUAUGUAUGUCAUGUGGUAUUUGGUAUUAAUUCAAGUUUUCUUCGAUGUUGCAAGGACAAAUUUGGAUUGUCGGUUCUGAAUUUUAACAGGCUUCUUAAGGCAUGUUAUUUUGGAAGGAUGUCUCAAAAUUGGACAGGUGCAACGCUUGCUGGGCUUCAAGGUGGAAGAUAAUGAGACCUGGGAAGAAGAAAAAUACUCCUCGUCCAAGUAGUCCAGGGAACGAUUGGUAUUGAUGUAUACUUGAGACCUUUGAUUGAAGAACUUAAAGAGUUAUGGGCAGAAAGGAUUGAUACUUAUGAUUCACUUAGAAAAAAGUCAUUUGUGAACCACGUGAUAGAGAGUGUCCUCCCACAUUCAGAGCCAUAGAAUUAUGAUCCUACUACACAGAUCCAAGGUUACACUGAAAGAUAUUGAGUUCCAGGCUACAUUGAAAGAUAUAUGUUAAUUAACUUUGGAAGUAAGGAAUCCAUCAGUGAUAAUUGAUGUAUUUUGUUAUUCCAUAUUCAAUUAAAAACUUCUCUUGAAACUUGUAUCUGGUGCUAAAUACGUUAGUAUUAAGUUUUUAUUUGUUUUUGUUGAAUGUAUGUGUUUUUUUUAAUAAAUGGAUGUUUUAU